rnacentral:ncRNA from 1 species
UUAAUGGCAGCGACGGAGAAGAGUAGGCGGGUACAGGCGUUCAGAGAGCCUGGGCAAGGUGGAAAUCAGGUACGCACUCCCGUUGAAAAUCCCUCCCGAGCCGACAGCCGAAAGGAUAUACUGAGUAGACCUGUCCGGAUUCGUCCCCCGUUAGCGGGACGCGCCUAUGGGGGUGGCGUCGUGGGCCAACUUGUGUAGGCGAUAGAGCGGGCGAACACGCCAAGUGGGGUGGUACCGCGGGAGUAUGCUACAUGCGCUCUCGUCCCCUGA